UACGAAGGGGGCUAGCGUUGCUCGGAAUUACUGGGCGUAAAGCGCACGUAGGCGGCCAUAAUAGUCAGAUGUGAAAGGCCUGGGCUUAACCCGGGAACUGCAUUUGAUACUGUAUGGCUAGAGUCCAAGAGAGGGUAGUGGAAUUCCCAGUGUAGAGGUGAAAUUCGUAGAUAUUGGGAAGAACACCAGUGGCGAAGGCGGCUACCUGGCUUGGUACUGACGCUCAGGUGCGAAAGCGUGGGGAGCGAACAGG
rnacentral:rRNA from 1 species